rnacentral:rRNA from 1 species
GACGAACGCUGGCGGCGUGCCUAAUACAUGCAAGUUGAGCGCUGAAGGUUGGUACUUGUACCGACUGGAUGAGCAGCGAACGGGUGAGUAACGCGUGGGGAAUCUGCCUUUGAGCGGGGGACAACAUUUGGAAACGAAUGCUAAUACCGCAUAAAAACUUUAAACACAAGUUUUAAGUUUGAAAGAUGCAAUUGCAUCACUCAAAGAUGAUCCCGCGUUGUAUUAGCUAGUUGGUGAGGUAAAGGCUCACCAAGGCGAUGAUACAUAGCCGACCUGAGAGGGUGAUCGGCCACAUUGGGACUGAGAAACGGCCCAAACUCCUACGGGAGGCAGCAGUAGGGAAUCUUCGGCAAUGGACGAAAGUCUGACCGAGCAACGCCGCGUGAGUGAAGAAGGUUUUCGGAUCGUAAAACUCUGUUGGUAGAGAAGAACGUUGGUGAGAGUGGAAAGCUCAUCAAGUGACGGUAACUACCCAGAAAGGGACGGCUAACUACGUG